CGGAGUGUAGCUCAGCCUGGUAGAGCACUGCGUUCGGGACGCAGGGGUCGGAGGUUCGAAUCCUCUCACUCCGA
rnacentral:tRNA from 1 species